GUGUUACUUCGGUACACACAUGUUAAAAUUGGAUCGAUACAGAGACGAUUAGCAUGGACCCCUGCGUAAGGUUGACACGCACAAUCGUGAAGCGGAUCCAAGUUUU